UACAGAGGGUGCAAGCGUUGUUCGGAAUUAUUGGGCGUAAAGCGCGUGUAGGCGGUUUUGCAAGUCGGGUGUGAAAUCCCCCCAGCUUAACUGGGGAAGUGCGCUCGAAACUGCAGAGCUAGAGUACCGGAGAGGAUGGCGGAAUGCUCCAAGUAGAGGUGAAAUUCGUAGAUAUGGGGCGGAACACCGGUGGCGAAGGCGGCCAUCUGGACGCUACUGACGCUGAGGCGCGAAAGCCAGGGGAGCGAACGGG
rnacentral:rRNA from 1 species